UAGAUCUUAUGGUUCUCUGUGGGAAUUUUUUUGUCCCUUUCAAGAAGAAUGGCCUUGUAGUUGGAAAGUGCAUUUGGGAGGAAUGGUUUCGAUGAAAGGGAGAGAGAGAAAAAACAAUGUGCUUUACUACUCUGUGAUAGUGCAAAACAAACAGAAAAAGCCUUUAUAAAUUGUGGUUAUAGUUGCCUGAGCAAUAGGUAUUUGGAUGCUUGGCUGGCUCUUGUCUGUGAAUACCUGGUUUGUACUUAGGAGGACAGGAGUUUGGCAUGCCAGGGAUGCGCGCACCGGCUCCGAUUCCCAUUCUCCCCAAACAGAAGCCAGCUGCGGGCUGGGGACCUGUGGGGAGAAGCUGCCUGGGCUGUAGGGGGAACAGACUCUGUCCUGUCCUUGCCAAGCGAGCGGUGUUACAGGGCGAUUGUAGUCUGAAAUGUGAGUGCUGUGAGUUCCUCCUGAUGUUUUCAGGGAGCUGCUGUUGGCCAUUCCUUGGCAGCCACUUGUCCCUGUUGUGAACCUGGGGGGAAUCUCCACAUGCCUCCUGGCCAUGCCUGAAAAGCAAACAGCCAUUAAAUGGAAAACAAAUAGAAAAACCAACCAGACAGAAACCAAACCAAAAAAGCCUGAACCCAUCUUUGUCUGCCCCCCAUCUCCCCGUGAGGUCUUCCCUGGCUGCUGCCAGCGUGUGGAGAGCUCUGGUCCCCCAGCAGCUGGGAGAGAAGAGGAGCUGUGGGAUCCUACAGAGGAACACCCCAUCGGGCUUCUGGCACAGUGUUUCGAUUGCCCCUGGGGGCGCCUGUCCCUCCCCAUGGCGUGUGAAGUGAGCCUGCGCUGCUCCAUGUGGUUCAUCACAGGUGGGAUCGCGAUGAGACCUGCCGCUGCUCAGAGAGCUGCACGCUGUGCUCUUGGCUCUUAAUUGUGGUCAUCAAACUGGUUCAGAUCUGGGAAUAAUUUCUUAUCAUAAUGUUACACUCAGUGCCAGACUGUUCCAGGGCUUCUGUCCGUAACCGAGGCCGUGCACAGCAGCGGCCGAUACCUGGAGGGGUCUCCGUGAGCGGUGCUGUGGAUCAGGGGGGAAGAGUGAGCUUUAAAAUGACUUCUGAACGGCAUCAGGAUUGUGGGGUGUCCUUUUUUAAAAGAACUUGAUGAAGAAAUUAAUUACGGGGAAAAGUAGACUACAGUACUCCAAUUUGGCAGAUUUCAGUCUUGUUUAUAUCCCAAGUGUACUGAACUGGAUGGAAGACUGUAUCAACAACCCCACCUCUUGUGUGAAAACAUCAAGAGUGUAUUUAGAAGCAGCAGAGUUAUGCAGCUGUUACUUAACCUGUGCAUAUUGUAGAAGUCUGGAUUUCUCUGUUCAUGCAUGAUAUGGGGAAUAUAUUAUUUCUGUUUCAGUAUUAGAAAAACUUGAAUUAAAAAUUGAUUGCCCACCUUA